AAAUGGGACAAUACCCCUAAUGCGCCUUGAAAUGAGGAACACAAAAGUCACGUGUAAACAAAAAAUCUCUGUGUAGUGAUAUUUGACACAUUUCUAUGAUAAACAAAUGACUGAGCUGAACCAUUAGUGUUAAUUUAGAAAGUAGGGGAACACAGAAUAAAUGUGUAAAACCAUGGAGCUAUUAAAUGUGUUCAAAGUAUUAAAAUUUCAAAGAACUUAUUGUGUUAAAAAUGGGAUUUUUUACCAUGAGGAGCCACAUCGCAAAAGGAUUCUCGGGGUUUGCUAAAUUACGGAAAAAUGAAUCACACUUCGUACCCCGAAAAUUUAACCACAUAUGUAAAAAUGUCUCAGCUUCGAAACAAGCCAUCAUACAUAUACAAGUUUACGAUAUGGGCUGAGCAACAGAAGAAAACGUUACCAUUACGGCCUAUGGAGAAACAAUUGCGCAUAUUGCCCCAUCUUCUAAGACAAGAUCCAGAGAUAUCUUAAGAUAAUUUCACCUUGUACACCACAGAAAAUUGUGAAAAUGAUGGUUAGUAGUUUUUUAUUUAUACCUAGUUAUCAUAAAUGAUUUAAGAUAAAUAUUAUUGAUAAAGAACAGCAAAAAUUCAAUGAAUUUUUCGCUUUUAAAAUCGUUACUGGCACGGGGCUGAACACUUUUUUUAGGCACAAUCAUAACUUUGUUUACCCCGAGAGAUCCGAAAGGAAUUGUUUAUUCAAUUGAAAAAGGCAGGAAAACUUACAUGUAAUAUGAAUAAUUGUAAGUAAACAUGACACAAUAUAGUCCUUUGUUAUGUAAUUAUCACUCUGGUCUGCAGAAUAGCUGAUAAUCAAGGGGAUAACACACUUCACACGAGUAAAGUGAGAUACAUCAUCACAUGCUUUUAUACAAUGAUUUGACCCUGGUCAGUAGAUAUCAUAUGCAAAUAAACAGAAAAAAACCUUGUACAUGUAUUAAGAAAAUCAUGUAUUACUAUUGUUAAUGCACACGAGCAAACACAAGAUAUUGUCAUUUCUCAGUGAAAAAGGGGGAGGGCCAACCCUCUUGAAAACAAUAUUGCUAUUCAACUACAUGUAUUAAGCUAGUUAGCUACUACCCAUUGCUUCUAAUAUAAACAGUUUAAAUGAAGGUGGCUAAGCCACAAGGGAGAGGCAUUUUUCUUUCUUUGUGAUAAAACUUUCAAGAAUUAGAUUUUUCUCUCUCGAUAAUACUUAUGUACUUAAAUUAAAUGAUAACACAGCCUGAGUAAAAAAAAUUGUCUUAUUUCAGUUCCAGACAUAUCAUUACUAUUAAACAUGAGAUGGCAAACUAAAGGUUUUAAAAAGUCCUGAAUAACUGGUAAGCAUUUUGAUUUAUUAGGUAAGCUCUAAAUUAUUUAUUUAUGGUAUUUGUGCAAAUGAAAUUACAGUCGGUAUGUUAUAAAUAUGCUUAUAUGAAAACUGUUGCUAUGGUCUUGCUAUUAAAUGAAAAGGCUUGGUUACUGAUCUUUUCGACUCAACAUUUCGAGUUAAAUCUUGCGGCAACUGAUUCUCAUGUAACACUGCAAACUCUAUUUAGCACUAUUUUGAUCUGUCGUUAUUUAAUGACGCCAUAAUACGUGUGAUGUCACAAUGUUUCCUAUAAUACCUUAUGUGGAUUUCUCACUGAGAAAGGGUUUUCACUAAAAUACAUGUAAAAAGCCUUUUUUUCUCAAAUAGAAUUAUGUGAAUGGACAAGUUUUGAAAAUUUGCACUUCAUUGCACUCUAAUUACAUAAUAAGAAUGACUUUCCCAGUAGUUUUGAGGGGUUUUCAUAGUAUUAUAUACCAGAUGUCUACUAGUAAGAAUAGUUAUUUUGGUGGUUUUUUUUUAUGAAAUCUACAUUUUUGCAUAAUUUCUCUGUCAAAAUGCACUUUAAGACACAGGAAAAUGUUAUAGAAUGCUUUAACAGGGUCUGUAUAUUGUAAUUUAAGGUUAUCAUCAGAAGUUUUGUCCUUGUUUUGACUAGUAAAGGUAUACUGGAAGAAAUUAAUUAUACAUACACGUUGUAUUAAAAAUAAAUGAAUAUAGCGAUAAAAGUGUCAUUGCCAUAUAGUGCUGAAACGACUUUAUUUUUUUUCAGAAAUGGACAAAAAUACACAGAUUUAUUCAGAAUGUCAUACCGAUGAAGAUCACCUAAAAAUAUUUGGAAAAAUCAGAACUAUUGAUUUCAAUAUGGGACAAUACCCCUAAUGCGCCUUGAAAUGAGGAACCACAAAAGUCACGUGUAAACAAAAAAUCUCUGUGUAGUGAUAUUUGACACAUUUCUAUGAUAAACAAAUGACUGAGCUGAACCAUUAGUGUUAAUUUAGAAAGUAGGGGAACACAGAAUAAAUGUGUAAAAACCAUGGAGCUAUUAAAUGUGUUCAAAGUAUUAAAAUUUCAAAGAACUUAUUGUGUUAAAAAUGGAUUUUUUACCAUGAGGAGCCACAUCGCAAAAGGAUUCUCGGGGUUUGCUAAAUUACGGAAAAAUGAAUCACACUUCGUACCCCGAAAAUUUAACCACAUAUGUAAAAAUGUCUCAGCUUCGAAACAAGCCAUCAUACAUAUACAAGUUUACGAUAUGGGCUGAGCAACAGAAGAAAACGUUACCAUUACGGCCUAUGGAGAAACAAUUGCGCAUAUUGCCCCA
rnacentral:lncRNA from 1 species